rnacentral:rRNA from 1 species
UCAGCCCGCGCCCCGUAAAACGGGACGGCCCGCCAGAGGACCCAAACUCUAAUGUUUCUUAUUGUAACUUCUGAGUAAAACAAACAAAUAAAUCAAAACUUUCAACAACGGAUCUCUUGGUUCUGGCAUCGAUGAAGAACGCAGCAAAAUGCGAUAAGUAAUGUGAAUUGCAGAAUUCAGUGAAUCAUCGAAUCUUUGAACGCACAUUGCGCCCGCUGGUAUUCCGGCGGGCAUGCCUGUUCGAGCGUCAUUUCAACCCUCAAGCCCCCGGGUUUGGUGUUGGGGAUCGGCUCUGCCUCACGGCGGUGCCGCCCCCGAAAUACAUUGGCGGUCUCGCUGCAGCCUCCAUUGCGUAGUAGCUAACACCUCGCAACUGGAACGCGGCGCGGCCAUGCCGUAAAACCCCAACUUCUGAAUGUUGACCUCGGAUCAGGUAGGAAUACCCGCUGAACUUAAGCAUA